ACCGGGCUGACACAAUUGGUUAGCGCGUGAGACUCUUAAUCUCAAGGUUGCGGGUUCAAGUCCCGUGUCCAGCU